GCGAACAUCAACUUCUUUUUAUAAGAGAAUUCCAACACAUGGCUUGACCCAAUGAUAACACAACUCAAGACAUUAUAAUCACAUCUGUCAUUUAGAAGCUUAAUGGAAAUUACAUAGGAUAAAGGAAUAAAAGCAGGAAAAAGCUAACAAUCCCAUGUCUGCUACUAAUGACUAUAAAAAGCCUCAAAUCAACUAUCUAUGUUUUGGGCCAUACCACAACUUAUUUUAACUGCUACAAAUACCAUAACUACAAAGCCUAGUAUCACCAUCACCCACAUAAUCUUUUUACCGUACAAUUACUUAAAUGCAAGCAUGCAUAUAAGAACAUAGCAACAUACAUCUAGACGUCAAUUACUAAUGUUUUUGCCUCGCAGUUAAGUUACAAGAUCUCAUCAGGUAAUGGUUUGGUAUGAAACUUUUCAACCUUCGACCUGAUGGAUAAAAUAGUAUCACUCAGUUGAGAAGAUUCACACUCAAGCUCGCUCAAGCGAGCCUUUGUUUCAUCAAUUAGUGCCUUGGUGUCUGCAACUGCUUUUUCUUUUUUAGCUAAAUCCUCCAUCAUUGAUUCUAGCUCUUUCCUUGUUGAUUCUAUAAUAUGAUUGCAGUUGGUUUUGGCUUCCUCGGCUGCUUGUUGCUGUUUAUUGAGUUCCAUAGCUUCCGUGACUCCAUUAAGUAUGCUCUGAAGCCAGCUAACA
rnacentral:misc_RNA from 1 species